rnacentral:siRNA from 1 species
CUAUGAACGGCCUAUCUUCUU